rnacentral:rRNA from 1 species
AUACGUAGGUGGCGAGCGUUGUCCGGAUUUACUGGGCGUAAAGGGAGCGUAGGCGGAUUUUUAAGUGAGAUGUGAAAUACUCGGGCUUAACCUGAGUGCUGCAUUUCAAACUGGAAGUCUAGAGUGCAGGAGAGGAGAAGGGAAUUCCUAGUGUAGCGGUGAAAUGCGUAGAGAUUAGGAAGAACACCAGUGGCGAAGGCAGCUUGCGAAGAUAUUAUUGACGCUGAGGCACGAAAGCGUGGGUAGC